UACGAGGGGGGCAAAUGUUGUUCGGAAUCACUGGGCGUAAAGGGAGCGUAGGCGGGUGUUUAAGUUAGGUGUUUAAUCCUGGGGCCCAACCCCAGUCGUGCACCUAAAACUGGACAUCUUGAAUAGUGGAGAGGUCAGUGGAAUUGGAGGUGUAGCGGUGGAAUGCGUAGAGAUCUCCAAGAACACCAGUUGCGAAGGCGGCUGACUGGACACAUAUUGACGCUGAGGCUCGAAAGCAUGGGGAGCAAACAGG
rnacentral:rRNA from 2 species